AGAAAGUUACAACUUAGUUCUCCAGGAUCAUUAAACUCUUUGGAUGUUUCUGCCUUUUGUUUUCCUUCCCGGUCCAGAUGAUCCUACACUGCUUCAAUAAUGCUGAGGUCCGGGUUCUGGAGAGGAUCCGUCCCUCCAUCAGACCCGUCGAGGUCCGGGUUCUGGAGAGGAUCCGUCCUUCCAUCAGACCCGUCAAGGUCCGGGUUCUGGGGAGGAUCUGUCCAUCCAUCAGACCCGUUGCCACUGAUCUUCAGUCCA